rnacentral:rRNA from 1 species
CAGCCGCCGCGGGAAUACGAGGGGGGCAAGCGUUGUUCGGAAUUAUUGGGCGUAAAGGGUGCGUAGGCGGCUUGACAAGUCUUGUGUGAAAUCUAUGGGCUCAACCCAUAGUCUGCACGGGAAACUGUCGGGCUUGAGAAUGGGAGAGGUGAGUGGAAUUUCCGGUGUAGCGGUGAAAUGCGUAGAUAUCGGAAGGAACACCUGUGGCGAAAGCGGCUCACUGGACCAUUUCUGACGCUGAUGCACGAAAGCUAGGGGAGCAAUCAGGAUUAGAUACCCCCGUAGUCCCUGUCUCUUAUAA